rnacentral:rRNA from 1 species
GGCCGCAGUAUUUUAACUGUGCAAAGGUAGCAUAAUCAUUAGUCUUUUAAUUGAAGGCUAGAAUGAAUGGUUGGACGAAAUAUUAACUGUUUCAUAUAAAUUUAAAAUAAAAUUUUAUUUUUUAGUAAAAAAGCUAAAAUAAAUUUAAAAGACGAGAAGACCCUAUAAAUCUUUAUAUUUAGAUUAUUAUAAAUUUUUAGAAAAAUUUUUUUAUAAUAAUUUAUAAUAUUUUAUUGGGGUGAUAUUAAAAUUUAAUAAACUUUUAUUUAUUUUUACAUUUAUUUAUGAUUAGUUGAUCCAUUAUUAAUGAUUAGAAAAUUAAGUUACUUUAGGGAUAACAGCGUAAUUUUUUUUAAGAGUUCAUAUCGAAAAAAAAUAUUGCGACCUCGAUGUUGGAUU